AAAUCCCUGCCGGGUACGUGAUGGACGCUCUAUUUUUUGGACCGAUGUCCAUUUUUAGGGAACCCGGCCUAAGCAUCGCGGUGUGCAAGCUCCCAUAGCUGUAAAGGGAGAAGCCUAAAGCGGUGGGUGGGGUGCCCACCUCGUUCAACGGGGUUCAAAAAAUGGGUUCACACGGCCAUGGUGGGGAUAUA
rnacentral:other from 1 species